AUUAUAUGGUCAAGUGAAUAAGCGUACAUGGCGGAUGCCUUGGCGAUUACAGGCGAUGAAGGACGUGGAAGUCUGCGAAAAGUUUCGGGGAGCUGGCAAUCAAGCUUUGAUCCGGAAAUGUCCGAAUGGGGAAACCCGCACAGGCUUAAAACCCUGUCAUCCACAGCUGAAUAAAAUAGGCUGCUGGAAGCGAACCUGGUGAACUGAAACA
rnacentral:rRNA from 1 species